rnacentral:rRNA from 1 species
GGACUACCGGGGUAUCUAAUCCUGUUUGCUCCCCACGCUGUCGCGCAUCAGCGUCAGCCUCACCCCAGCAGACCGCCUUCGCCACCGGUGUUCUUCCGGAUCUCUACGCAUUCCACCGCUACACCCGGAAUUCCAUCUGCCUCUAGUGAGCUCGAGCCGAGGAGUCUCGACGGCCGACCCGGAGUUGAGCUCCGGGCUUUCACCGCCGACUUCCCCAGCCGCCUACGCGCCCUUUACGCCCAGUGAUUCCGGACAACGCUCGCACCCUCCGUAUUACCGCGGCGGCUGGCAC